rnacentral:rRNA from 1 species
AGAGUUUGAUCAUGGCUCAGGAUGAACGCUGGCGGUCUGCUUAACACAUGCAAGUCGAACGAACUCUUCGGAGUGAGUGGCGGACGGGUGAGUAACGCGUGAGAAUCUACCUGUGGGUCGGGGACAACCACUGGAAACGGUGGCUAAUACCGGAUGAGCCGAAAGGUAAAAGAUUUAUUGCCCACAGAUGAGCUCGCGUCUGAUUAGCUAGUUGGUAAGGUAAAAGCGUACCAAGGCGACGAUCAGUAGCUGGUCUGAGAGGAUGAGCAGCCACACUGGGACUGAGACACGGCCCAGACUCCUACGGGAGGCAGCAGUGGGGAAUUUUCCGCAAUGGGCGAAAGCCUGACGGAGCAAGACCGCGUGGGGGAGGAAGGUUUUUGGAUCGUAAACCCCUUUUGUCAAGGAAGAAGCUCUGACGGUACUUGACGAAUAAGCCUCGGCUAACUCCGUGCCAGCAGCCGCGGUAAUACGGAGGAGGCAAGCGUUAUCCGGAAUGAUUGGGCGUAAAGCGUCUGUAGGUGGCCAGCUAAGUCUGCUGUUAAAGAUCACAGCUCAACUGUGGGAAGGCAGUGGAAACU